rnacentral:rRNA from 1 species
AGUGAACGCUGGCGGCAGGCCUAACACAUGCAAGUCGAGCGGCAGCGCGGGGGCAACCCUGGCGGCGAGCGGCGGACGGGUGAGGAAUGCAUCGGAAUCUACCUCGUUGUGGGGGAUAACCUCGGGAAACCGGGACUAAUACCGCAUACGACCUACGGGUGAAAGUGGGGGACCUUCGGGCCUCACGCGAUGAGAUGAGCCGAUGCCGGAUUAGCUAGUUGGCGGGGUAAAGGCCCACCAAGGCGACGAUCCGUAGCUGGUCUGAGAGGACGACCAGCCACACUGGAACUGAGACACGGUCCAGACUCCUACGGGAGGCAGCAGUGGGGAAUUUUGGACAAUGGGCGAAAGACCUGAUCCAGCCAUUCCGCGUGAGUGAAGAAGGCCU